rnacentral:rRNA from 1 species
GAGACCUCAGGUCAGGCGGAGCUACC